UUUCCGUAGGUGAACCUGCGGAAGGAUCAUUAUUGUAUAACCGAGGUGCGAGGGCUGUCGCUGACCCGAAAGGUCGUGCACGCCCGAGUGCCCUCACACACAUCCAUCUCACCCCUAUGUGCACCACCGCGUGGGUCCCCCUUUGGCUUGUUCGGAGGGGGGCUUACGUUUUCACACAAACUUUGUAUGCAGUGUAGAAUGUAUUUUUUGUUUUUGCGAUCACGCAAUCAAUACAACUUUCAACAACGGAUCUCUUGGUUCUCGCAUCAUGAAGAAC
rnacentral:misc_RNA from 1 species